GUUUGAUUAUGGCUCAGAUUGAACGCUGGCGGGAUGCUUUACACAUGCAAGUCGAACGGCAGCACGGACUUCGGUCUGGUGGCGAGUGGCGAACGGGUGAGUAAUGUAUCGGAACGUGCCUAGUAGCGGGGGAUAACUACGCGAAAGCGUAGCUAAUACCGCAUACGCCCUUCGGGGGAAAGCGGGGGACCUUCGGGCCUCCGCGCACUAUUAGAGCGGCCGAUAUCGGAUUAGCUAGUUGGUGGGGUAACGGCUCACCAAGGCGACGAUCCGUAGCUGGUUUGAGAGGACGACCAGCCACACUGGGACUGAGACACGGCCCAGACUCCUACGGGAGGCAGCAGUGGGGGAAUUUUGGACAAUGGGGAAACCCUGAUCCAGCCAUCCCGCGUGUGCGAUGAAGGCCUUCGGGUUAUAAAGCACUUUUGGCAGGAAGAAACGGCACGGGAUAAUACCCCGUGCAACUGACGGUACCUGCAGAAUAAGCACCGGCUAACUACGUGCCAGCAGCGGUAAUACGUAGGGUGCAAGCGUUAAUCAAUUACUGAGCGUAAAGCGUGCGCAGGUUCGGAAAGAUGUGAAAUCCCAGAGCUUAACUUUGGAACUGCAUUUUUAACUACCGAGCUAGAGUGUGUCAGGAGGUGGAAUUCCGCGCGUGUGGCAGUGAAAUGCGUAGAUAUGCGGAGGAACACCGAUGGCGAAGGCAACCUCCUGGGAUAACACUGACGCUCAUGCACAGCGUGGGGAGCAAACGGGAUUAGAUACCCUGGUAGUCCACGCCCUAAACGAUGUCAACUAGCUGUUGGGGCCUUCGGGCCUUGGUAGCGCAGCUAACGCGUGAAGUUGACCGCCUGGGAGUACGGUCGCAAGAUUAAAACUCAAAGGAAUUGACGGGGACCCGCACAAGCGGUGGAUGAUGUGGAUUAAUUCGAUGCAACGCGAAAAACCUUACCUACCCUUGACAUGUCUGGAAUCCCGAAGAGAUUUGGGAGUGCUCUCGCAGAGAACCGGAACACAGGUGCUGCAUGGCUGUCGUCAGCUCGUGUCGUGAGAUGUUGGGUUAAGUCCGCAACGAGCGCAACCCUUGUCAUUAGUUGCUACGAAAGGGCACUCUAAUGAGACUGCCGGUGACAAACCGGAGGAAGGUGGGGAUGACGUCAAGUCCUCAUGGCCCUUAUGGGUAGGGCUUCACACGUCAUACAAUGGUCGGGACAGAGGGUCGCCAACCCGCGAGGGGGAGCCAAUCCCAGAAACCCGAUCGUAGUCCGGAUCGCAGUCUGUAACUCGACUGCGUGAAGUCGGAAUCGCUAGUAAUCGCGGAUCAGCAUGUCGCGGUGAAUACGUUCCCGGGUCUUGUACACACCGCCCGUCACACCAUGGGAGUGGGUUUUACCAGAAGUAGUUAGCCUAACCGUAAGGAGGGCGAUUACCACGGUAGGAUUCAUGACUGGGGUGAAGUCGUAACAAGGUAA
rnacentral:rRNA from 1 species